ACUGAACGCUGGCGGCAUGCCUUACACAUGCAAGUCGAACGGUAACAGGUCCUCGGAUGCUGACGAGUGGCGAACGGGUGAGUAAUACAUCGGAACGUGCCCGAGAGUGGGGGAUAACGAAGCGAAAGCUUUGCUAAUACCGCAUACGAUCUCAGGAUGAAAGCAGGGGACCGCAAGGCCUUGCGCUCACGGAGCGGCCGAUGGCAGAUUAGGUAGUUGGUGGGAUAAAAGCUUACCAAGCCGACGACCUGUAGCUGGUCUGAGAGGACGACCAGCCACACUGGGACUGAGACACGGCCCAGACUCCUACGGGAGGCAGCAGUGGGGAAUUUUGGACAAUGGGCGCAAGCCUGAUCCAGCCAUGCCGCGUGCAGGAUGAAGGCCUUCGGGUUGUAAACUGCUUUUGUACGGAACGAAAAGACUCCUUCUAAUAAAGGGGGUCCAUGACGGUACCGUAAGAAUAAGCACCGGCUAACUACGUGCCAGCCGCCGCAGUAAUAC
rnacentral:rRNA from 1 species